rnacentral:rRNA from 1 species
UACGUAGGUGGCAAGCGUUGUCCGGAUUUACUGGGCGUAAAGAGCGCGCAGGCUGCUGGGCAAGUCCGAUGUGAAAGCUUCCGGCUUAACUGGAAAAUUGCAUCGGAAACUGCUCGGCUUGAAGGUGGGAGAGGGUAGCGGAAUUCCCGGUGUAGUGGUGAAAUGCGUAGAUAUCGGGAGGAACACCAGUGGCGAAGGCGGCUACCUGGCCCACUCUUGACGCUGAGGCGCGAAAGCUAGGGGAGCAAACGGG